UACGGAGGGUGCGAGCGUUGUCCGGAAUCACUGGGCGUAAAGGGCGCGUAGGCGGCGCGGGGAGUCAACGGUGAAAGCUCGGCGCUCAACGCCGAGUCGGCCGUCGAUACUCCCGUGCUCGAGCACUGUAGAGGCAGGUGGAAUUCCGGGUGUAGCGGUGGAAUGCGUAGAGGAUCCGGAAGAACACCGGGUGGCGAAGG
rnacentral:rRNA from 1 species